GACCGGUGGCUCAUUGGGAUAAUGCGCGCGCCAUGAUCGCAGCGACCCGGGUUCGAUUCCCGGCCCUGGUCA